GUCAGUUUGGCCGAGUGGUUAAGGCGAUAGACUUGAAAUCUAUUGGGCUCUGCCCGCGUCGGUUCAAAUCCGGCAGCUGACG
rnacentral:tRNA from 4 species